AAAAAGAGCACAGUCUGCCAUGCUGACAGUUGCAGGUUAGUGCGUAUAUAUCCAAAUUGCACGCAUCUGUUAGUUGUGGACAGCUCAUUAAUGAUCAAUUGGUCAGCAGGUUAGCUUCAUGUUGGCAAUCUCUAUUACAAUAAUUAAAUAUGUUUUAUAACUAAACCUCAUUGUUCUAUCAGUGCUAUAAUGUCCCCGUGUUUUCAUAUUAAAGCCGAUAGUAGCCGCUAGAUCUGCACUAUCAUCUAGGAUUGAUGUGCCCAGCCGGUAAUACCAAAGAUUUGUAUAACUCAACCAAUAUUGACCAUAGCCUGUCGUUUCCAAUGGGAACAAAUUAGUCAUAAUGGGCAGAGCCAAGCACGAGCUAGCGAGAUCCUAUUUAAAAAACAUAAUCAUUAAACUAUUACUAGGUUAGUAACAAAAUCAUCUGCAUAUUGCCAUUAGGGAACGCCUCCUUUGUGAAGUGCUCUUGUGCAAUAACUCAAUUCGCCUUUGCACUCGUUCUAAACAGCGCGUAUUUUAUUGUAUUUUGCAAAGGGUAAAGUCGACAACUUAAUCCACUCUGUUCAUAACAGAUUAUAUUGAGAUCAAAUGUUUAAUCGAUGAGAAAAUGUGCAGAAUCUCGGCCAAAAUCCAUCUCGUUCCAUCUACUUCCACUGCAAGCCAGUGAGCAGCUUCUUCUUCUACUUCUAUGGUAUAAUGGCGUAACAAUCAAAUGUACCGUCGGCCACCAACUGUGCGGGUGGGUAAUAAGGAUCCGUCCGCAAAAAUAAAACAUUUGGGUAAAAAUAAAAAAUAAAACUAACUACCCAAAAAAAUGAAAACCAAAACAAAAUGAACCUGCUUUUCUGUAAAAAAAACAAAACGUUUUUUAAUCAGGUCCCAACACAGGUUCAGAAGCCUCCUGUGAGGGCGGGACAUUUCCUAGCAACAAAAGUCCUUGGGAGUGUUUCUGCCAUGAAGUCCUGGAACCCAAAAACUUCUCAGUUGCAGAUAUAAUGAUAUCCACGCUAUUUGACUUCUUAGACACUUGUGCUGUACAAUUGAUCACUGUGGCUAUAAAUGUCACAAAAAUCCACCUUCUUCACAAUGAGUGUAUCCAGAUCACCCGAUUGACUUAAAACACUAGCAACUGAUUGCCAGGACUACCUGGCAUGAUGACUCCUUGCUGUCCCCAGUCCACCUGGCCGUGCUGCUGCUCCAGUGUCAACUGUUCUGCCUGCGGCUAUGGAACCCUGACCUGUUCACCGAACGUGCUACCUGUCCCAGACCUGCUGUUUUCAACUCUCUAGAGACAGCAGGAGCGGUAGAGAUACUCUUAAUGAUCGGCUAUGAAAAGGCAACUGACAUUUACUCCUGAGGCGCUAACUUGCUGCACCCUCGACAACUACUGUGAUGAUUAUUUUACCAUGCUGGUCAUUUAUGAACAUUUGAACAUCUUGGCCAUGUUCUGUUAUAAUCUCCACCCGACACAGCCAGAAGAGGACUGGCCACCCCUCAUAGCCUGGUUCCUCUCUAGGUUUCGGCCUUUCUAGGGAGUUUUUCCUAUCCACCGUGCUUCUACACCUGCAUUGUUUGCUGUUUGGGGUUUUAGGCUGGAUUUCUGUUCAGCACAUUGCUGAACAUUGCACGUUCCCAUACCGCUUUUAGGACGAGAAGAUCCAAGGUGCAGACUACUUUGGCCACAAAGAUGUUGCUGGUCAGUGCAUUAAGGUCCUGUGUGAAGUCUUCAAGGAGCAGGUAAUGGAAUAACCCUCUACUAGGAAGAGAAUAUUGCGCAGAUGACAUUAAUACACAGUUUACAUUACCAAACAAAUUACGUUAGGUACUACACUGAUUAAACUAGUUACUACACAUUACAACACAGAGGACAUUACGACACAGAUGACAUUACACACAUUACGUUAGUUACUACACAGAUUAAAUUAGUUACUACACAUUACAACACAGAGGACAUUACUACACAGAUGACAUUACACACAUUACGUUAGUUACUACACAGAUUAAAUUAGUUACUACACAUUACAACACAGGACAUUACUACAAAGAUGACAUUACACACAUUACGUUAGUUACUACACAGAUUAAAUUAGUUACUACACAUUACAUUACUACACAGAGGACAUUACUACACAGAGGACAUUAAUACACAGAGGACAUUAAUACACAGAUUAUACUACUAUAUUACAUUGCUCCACAUAUUACAUUACUACACAUUAGAUUUUCAAGAUAUUCAAGGUCUCCCUUUUAAAAGAGGUCUCCUAUCCUCAAUGGGACUUCCUGGAUAACUAAAGGUUAAAGCUGCAAUAUGUAACUUUUUUUGUAUUAUCUUGUACCUUAUCCUCAUUACUUUUCCAUUGUCUUGGCCAGGAGUUCCUAGAGAAAGUGAAGUACUUUGUGAUGUGGUAGAGCAGACAUGUGGUCUCAGAUGUCAUACGUCUUUGUGAAGCAGUAUAGGAGGAGGCCUAUGACAUCAUCGCUGAAGAUGUCCAAGGAAAAGUGUUCUUUGCUGGGGAGGAAACCAACAGAAACAUUCCUAUUUGAGUGGCGUCCGUGAAGCAAGUAAAAUCGCCUUACCUGUGAGCAGUCAGUCACACAAUACCAGCAUGACUCAGUCGUACAGAGCAACGCUUCAGUUCCUCACUCAACUGAGUCACAAUGCUUUUAAGUGGUGUUUUCAACCAGUGUGUACUGUACCUCGUGUGUGAGCAGAGAUGACCAAUGCUGUUUGUAACGAGGCAAUGUUAUGGACAUUGAAUCAAUGUGGAAAACUGAUUGGAUUUGCACAAAUUAACAUAAGGGAAUUUCAUAAUUUUCUUACCCAGCUUUUAACCUAAAUGUAAUGACAUUACGAAAUGUUUUGUUGAUUUCACGUUAGUUGACAACUAGACAUGGAACUGACGUCUGUGCCCAGUGGGACACCUCGUGUUGGUUUAGUUGGAGAUCACUGUAAUAAGAAAUUAAAAGAUUGGCAGCGCAAGUAUGCUUCUAAACAA